rnacentral:lncRNA from 1 species
UCUAGUUACUUCCUCCUUAUACGUUGAGCUUAUUUUGCUUAAUAAAUAUUAUAGAUAACUCGUUACUUCUUUCUCAAAAAUAUAACUACCGUCCGUAUCUAAUGUAAUCGACUAAAAAUUUAAUAGCGGUACUCGAGAUUAUAAAUUCAAAGCCUGAUUAUUUUGUUUUUUUAUAUCAAUUUAUUUAUUUAAAAAAAAUGAAGCAAAUAGUUUGCUGGUUUUCUUAAAAAAAAAAAAAAAAAGUAAAAUAAAGUGAUAUCAGUAUGUUUUUGAAAAAAAAAGAAGAAGAAGGGUCUAAGUUUGAAAUUUUCGUAGAUUCUAGCAAAAGAUAACUUGGGCGCAGUGCAAUUCUGACUCCUGAUCCGAUCCUCAUCACCCGUACAAAUAUCUGUCAACGUUAAACGUCACUGCAUUCGUUCGAGCAGGCAAUGUGCAACGUAAUCAAGCACAAUUAGAGAAAGCUAAUUGGAGCUGUUUUGUCACACUUAUUUUCCCAACUUUAUUGUCCACGUUCACUCAAACUACUAUGCUAUCGGAAGCACCGAGCCUUUCGUGCUUCUAACUCAUUUUCGAUAUUGCGACUUUCGAAUCGUCGAUCGAUUCCGUUAAACUUGAUCUAGAGUAUUUGAAAUACCUAGAAAAUAAAUUUUAUGAUUUACGAUAUCAUUUGCCUGGUGAACGAAGGGGCUCAAAAUCAACGGCUGAAAAUAAAAAUCUUACAAAAUGUAAUAAUAUGACAUUAAAAUUUUAAAUUAAAGAUAUUGAUCUUGUUUUAAAUAGUAUAAAGAAUUUUCUAUCAAAAUUUCACGUGAUUUGAAUAUUUCUAUACCGUUAAACUUGCAAACGGCUCACUACAGCCAUUGAAAUUUGUUGAUUUUGAGCCCAUUCGAUCACUUGGCAAAUGAUAUCGAAAAAUAAUCAAAUUUAUUUUCUAGAUACUCCAAAUACUCUAGAUCAAGUUUAACGGAGCCAAUCGAUGAUUCGAAAGUCGCGACAUCGAAAACGAGCUGGAAGCACGGAAGGCUCCGUGCUUCCGAUAGCAUAGUAGCCUCACUCAUAUAUAUCUAUUACUAUAUAUAAAAGUAGAACCCUUAAUGAACCCUAUGUGAGAAGCUGACACGUGGCUUUCUAUAUGCUUGUCACGUGUCAAACUCAAAUAUGGAUAUUUAAAAUUAUUGAUUCCGAAAUCAAUAAUCUAACGGUCAAACUCAAAUUUCGUAUUGGCAAAUAAUUAAUUAUUUAAAAUUAUUGGUUGAGAAAUACGCAAUAAUCUGUUGCGAAUUAUUUAAAAUGAUUGGUAUUAAUUAUUUAAAAUUAGUGGUUGCGAAAUAAGCAAUAAUCUGUUGCGAAUUAUUUGAAAUGGUUAGUUGCGAAAAAAAUGGUCAAACUCAAAUUUUGUAUUGGCAAAUAAUUAAUUAUUUAAAAUUAUUGGUUGAUAGUAUAUUUUUUUAUUUAUUAAAAAAUAUAAAAUUAAUUAGAAAAUCUUUUUGUUAUCAUCAUAUAAUAAUUUUUAUUAUUCUAUAUUAUUAUAUUAGCCGUGCAUCGCACGGGUGAAAAUCUAGUAUAUAUAUAUAUAUAGAGUUGGACUGGGCUACUAUUAGUAGCAAAAUUCCAUUAUUGCUACCAGUUUUUUAGCCUUUGGAUUAACUCUUUUCAUUAUUUCUAACCAUUGGAUUAAAUACUAUAAACCAGUGGGGACCACUCAACCCUAGGGGGACCACUCAACUCUAACCGACUAAUAUUAUCCUGAUCCUACAAUUUUUCAUCCAAGAGUUAAAAACUUGAUAGCAAAAAGUGCGUUUUACUAUUAAUAGUAUUACAGCCUAAUUCUAUAUAAUAAAUAAUAUAUAUAUAUAUAUAUAUAUAUAUAGAGAGAGAGAGAGAGAGAGAGAGAGUUUUGCUAGAAUACUAUCGGGAGUAAACGGCUCAGUCUACUACCGAUUUGUUUUCGAUGAUAAAGCUUCCAAAUUGAUGAUCGGCACCAUUAAACAUGAUCUAAACUAUUUAAACUAUCUGAAAAUCAAAUUUCACACAUUUUCGAUAUUGUUCUUUUGUCCAUUAAGUGAACAGAAAAAUGAAUGGCUGGAAAUAAAUAUUCUUCAAAAAGUGACGAUACAAUUUUUAUAUUUGAAAUUUAGAGUCUAGAUCUUAUUUUAAAUAGUUUAAAGAAUUUUUUAACAAAAAUUUAGUUGAUUUGAACUCUUUUAUACCGUUAAACGAGCAAACGCAUCAUAUCGGCUAUUUAAAUUAUAGAUUUUGUGACCCUUUAAUUGUUCAGUUAGUGAUGUCAAAAAAUCAUAAAAUUUGAUUUCUAGAUAAUUUAAAUGGUCUAAAUCAUGUUCAACGAUACCGAUCGUCGAUUUGGAAACUCUAUCAUCAAAAACAAAUCGAUAGUAAACCGAGCAAUUUACUACCGAUAGUAGUCUAGUCAAACUCUCUCUCUCUCUCUCUCUAUAUAUAUAUAGAAUUAGGCUGGAAUACUAUUAAUAGUAAAACGCUCUUUUUGCUAUCAAGUUUUUAACCCUUGGAUGAAAAACUGUAGGGUCAGGAUGAUAUUAGUCAGUUAGAGUUGAAUGGUCCCCCUAGGGUUGAGUGGUCUCCACUGGAUUAUAGUAUUUAAUCCAAUGGUUAGAAAUAAUGAAAAGAGUUGAUCCAAAGGCUAAAAAACUGAUAGCAAUAAUGAGAUUUUGCUACUAAUAGUAGUCCAGUCCAACUCUAUAUAUAUAUAUAUAUAUAUAUAUAUAUAUAUAUAGAAUUAGGCUGGAAUACUAUUAAUAGUAAAACGCUCUUUUUGCUAUCAAGUUUUUAACCCUUGGAUGAAAAAUUAUAGGGUCAGGAUGAUAUUAGUCGGUUAGAGUUGAGUGGUCCCCUUAGGGUUGAAUGGUCUCUACUGGGUUAUAGUAUUUAAUCCAAUGGUUAGAAAUAAUGAAAAGAGUUGAUCCAAAGGCUAAAAAACUGAUAGCAACAAUGAGAUUUUACUACUAAUAGUAGCCCAGUUCAACUCUAUAUAUAUAUAUAUAUAUAUAUAUAUAUAUAUAUAUAUAUAUAU